CGCCUUUUGAAUUAUCAACAUAAAAGGUCCUGCCUGCCCAGUGACAUCUGUUUCAACGGCCGCGGUAUUAUGACCGUGCAAAGGUAGCGUAAUCACUUGUCUUUUAAAUAAGGACCAGUAUGAAUGGCAAAACGAAACCUAACUGUCUCCCUAAGUUAGUCAAUAAAAUUGAUCUUCCCGUGCAGAAGCGGGAAUUAUAAUAUAAGACGAGAAGACCCUGUGGAGCUUUAAACUUAAACUAACAAACUAUAAAUGUACUAGCACCAGGUUUUAGGUUGGGGCGACCAUGAGGUAUAACACAACCCUCAAGACGAAAACUAAGAAGGACACUUCAAAUAAAUAUUAAUAACGCAAUUGACCCAAUAAUUGAUCAACGAACCAAGUUACCCCAGGGAUAACAGCGCAAUCUACUCAAAGAGCCCUUAUCGACGAGCAGGUUUACGACCUCGAUGUUGGAUCAGGACCCCCAAAUAAUGCAACAGUUAUUAAAGGUUCGUUUGUUCAACGAUUAAAGUCCU
rnacentral:rRNA from 1 species